GGAGGAGCAGCCUGGACCCUCCUCUGAUCCAGGACCAUCACAGCAAGGGGAUUCCUCCCCCCCACCUCCAGAAGAGGGGGACAAGGAGGUCUACACCCCCAACCAGAAGGUUAUUAGAAAACUUAAAAAGAGGCUCCUUGAGCAUCGAAAAUCAGAAGCCAAGGCAAUGCUGGCUAUAAAAGCCGAGAAAAAAAAAUAGGACUUCUUCAGGCUCGGCUGCAGAGGCAUCAGCGUCAGCUGGAUGAUAAUUACAGGAAGCUGGAGGAG